ensembl:miRNA
UUGGAGGACUGGGCAUCCAUCCCACAGAAGCCUGACGCAGCUGCUGCAGUGCCCACUGUGGAAGAUGCCCUACAUGCUGCAG